rnacentral:lncRNA from 1 species
UGUAGGAUUAACAACUGGUAUAUCACCCUGUCCUCCCUGAGCUAUAAUAACAUCUAGAGCUGAAACCAAACCAAUCAUCAGAUUAAAGAAAACAGGUCAGUUCGUUGCAAUAACACUAACUCUUAAGAAACUUUUAAGGAUGUGCAAGAAAAACAGAGCAGCUUAUACUCUAAUGUUGUAAACAGACAACAAAGAGAUUACGUGAAGUGAUAAGAAGGCAUAGAAGCAUGAUCUGGAAGCAACGAGGAGCUAUACGGUGAGGCAUUUCUUUCCGUUCCUUGUUAGUUGAAGCUUUUGAAAGAGAGAGACUUGUCAGGUAGUCUUGGGAUGUGGGAGAGGGAAGAUAGAAUGGUUGCGAAGAAGUUCCAUCUCUCAGGUAUAAAGAUGAAGAGAAAAGGAGAAUCAUAGA